rnacentral:tRNA from 1 species
AUUUAUAUAGCUUAAAUAAGAGCAUAGUAUUGAAGAUACUAAGGUAAUAAAAUUGUUUAUAAAUA